UGUAAAAUGGGGAUAAUAAUAAGCCUGCCUGC
rnacentral:piRNA from 1 species